GACGAACGCUGGCGGCGUGCUUAACACAUGCAAGUCGAACGAAGUGGCGAACGGGUGAGUAACGCGUAAUCAACCUGCCCUUCAGAGGGGGACAACAGUUGGAAACGAAUGCUAAUACCGCAUACUGAAGGAGGGGAUUGCGUCGGAUUAGCUAGGUGGAGGGGUAACGGCCCCCCAAGGCGAUGAUCAGUAGCCUGUCUGAGAGGGUGAACGGCCACAAUGGGACUGAGAAACGGCCCAGACUCCUACGGGAGGCAGCAGUGGGGAAUCUUCCGAAAUGGACGAAAGUCUGACGGAGCAACGCCGCGUGAGUGAUGACGGCCUUCGGGUUGUAAAGCUCUGUUAAUCGGGACGCGGUACCGGAAUAGAAAGCCACGGCUAACUACGUGCCAGCAGCCGCGGUAAUUC
rnacentral:rRNA from 1 species